AUAUCAAUAAGCGGAGGAAAAGAAACCAACAGGGAUUGCCUUAGUAACGGCGAGUGAAGCGGCAACAGCUCAAAUUUGAAAUCUGGCCCUCUAGGGUCCGAGUUGUAAUUUGUAGAGGAUGCUUCGGUGUUGGCCCUGGCCUAAGUUUCUUAGAACAGGACGUCAUAGAGGGUGAGAACCCCGUACGUGGCCAGUGUCCCUCACCAUGUGAAGCUCCUUCGACGAGUCGAGUUGUUUGGGAAUGCAGCUCUAAAUGGGAGGUAAAUUUCUUCUAAAGCUAAAUAUUGGCCAGAGACCGAUAGCGCACAAGUAGAGUGAUCGAAAGAUGAAAAGCACUUUGGAAAGAGAGUUAAAAAGUACGUGAAAUUGUUGAAAGGGAAGCGCUUGCAACCAGACCUGCCCGCGGUUGCUCAUCUAGGCUUCUGCCUGGUGCACUCUUCCGCGGUCAGGCCAGCAUCGGUUCGGGCGGCCGGACAAAGGCGGCGGGAAUGUAGCUCCUCUUGGGGAGUGUUAUAGCCCGCUGUGUAAUGCGGCCAGCCGGGACCGAGGUCCGCGCUUCGGCUAGGAUGCUGGCGUAAUGGUUGUAAGCGGCCCGUCUUGAAACACGGACCAAGGAGUCUAACAUCUGUGCGAGUGUUUGGGUGUCAAGCCCGGGCGCGUAAUGAAAGUGAAUGGAGGCGGGAACCCUCGGGUGCACCGUCGACCGAUCCUGAUGUCUUCGGAUGGAUUUGAGUAAGAGCAUAGCUGUUGGGACCCGAAAGAUGGUGAACUAUGCCUGAAUAGGGUGAAGCCAGAGGAAACUCUGGUGGAGGCUCGCAGCGGUUCUGACGUGCAAAUCGAUCGUCAAAUUUGGGCAUAGGGGCGAAAGUAAGUUUCAUAUUUUGCGUUUUGUUUAGGUUAUUUAGAAUUCAAUGCUAACAAUUCUGUUAGGACUAAUCGAACUAUCUAGUAGCUGGUUCCUGCCGAAGUUUCCCUCAGGAUAGCAGUAACGUUUUCAGUUUUAUGAGGUAAAGCGAAUGAUUAGAGGCCUGGGGGUUGAAACAACCUUCACCUAUUCUCAAACUUUAAAUAUGUAAGAAGUCCUUGUUACUUAGUUGAACGUGGACAUUUGAAUGUAUCGUUACUAGUGGGCCAUUUUUGGUAAGCAGAACUGGCGAUGCGGGAUGAACCGAACGCGGGGUUAAGGUGCCGGAAUGCACGCUCAUCAGACACCACAAAAGGUGUUAGUUCAUCUAGACAGCAGGACGGUGGCCAUGGAAGUCGGAAUCCGCUAAGGAGUGUGUAACAACUCACCUGCCGAAUGAACUAGCCCUGAAAAUGGAUGGCGCUCAAGCGUGCUACCCAUACCCCGCCGCCGGGGUAAAAGUUACGCCCCGGCGAGUAGGCAGGCGUGGAGGCCCGUGACGAAGCCUUGGGGGUAACCCCGGGUAGAACGGCCUCU
rnacentral:rRNA from 1 species